UUUAACCGACAAGUUUAGAAGCAUAAAGUAAGAUGGUCUGACAUUACCUUUUCUGGGCCACUGUAAGGAUUGUCACCAUUUCCUUGUACUGUAAUAACCUUGUUUGAAACAAGUAAUGCUAUUGAUUAUAUUACCUUGCUGUUCAAGUCAUUUGUUAAUCUAUUCUGUUCAUAGCUGUUAAGCCACUGAGAUCACUGAUUCAC
rnacentral:lncRNA from 1 species